rnacentral:tRNA from 1 species
CCCCCGAUAACUCAGUCUGGUCAGAGUAGCGGACUCUUAAUCCGCGAGUCGCAGGUUCAAAUCCUGCUCGGGGGA